CCCAUUUUGGCUGUAGUGUUUUGCAUGCACGUGGAUGAGAGUACGUUCUUUGUUGUUUAUCUCCGGUAAAGACAAUAACGAUUCUCCGUCUUAAAUUUGAUCGUUUAUUUACAUAUUAUGGUACCUGAGGUUUGAUUAUAAACGUUGUUUGACUUGUUUGGAGAAGUUUAUUGGUAACGUUUGGGAUUCAUUUUGUAUGCAUUUUGAAGGAGGGAAACAGGUGGAUUAUUAACUGAAGCGCACCAGCUAAACAGAUAUUUUGGGGAUAUAAAGAAGGACAUUAUCGAACAAAAGGACCAUUUGUGAUGUAGGUGGGACCUUUUGGAGUGCCAACAGAAGAAGAUCUUCAAAGAAGCAGGCAAUCUGAGUGGUUCCUCUGACUUCAAAAUGGCCCAAGUCGCUCCCCUUCUCAAGAAACCAACACUCAACCCCUAUGAUGUAAAAGACUACAGAACGGUUGGUAUCCCUUCUUUUUUUUCUUUCCAAAACACUUGAGCGUGCUGUCUCUGACCAACUCUCUCGCUAUCUCCCUCAGAAUAAUCUUCUUGACCGUAACCAGUCACUCAGUUCACUCACUCAAGAUUGCUUUCCGCACUGCCAAAGCUGAGUCUUUCCUCUGUUCUCCUAGAUCUAUCCAAUGCCUUAGACACAGUGAACCGCCAGAUCCUCCUGUCCACCCUUUCAGGGUGUCUCUGCACACUCUUGGAUUGCAUCCUACCUGGCAGGCCGCUCCUACCAGCCAGGUAACGACACGCAUCUCUGCAUGUUUGGCAGAUAUCUGAUAUGGAUGUUGGCCCACCACCUCAAGCUCAAGUUCAACAAGACAGAGCUGCUCUUCCUCCCGGAGAAGACCUGCCUGCUCCAGUGUGCAAAGCUGUCAUCGAGGCAAAGGGUGGCUACUUUGAAGAAUCUCAAAUAUAAAAUAUAUUUUGAUUUGUUAAACCUUUUCACACGUACCAUCACACAGGUGUGACCAUUCUACAGUGGUCCCUGUAGCGUAUGAUCAAACCGGUGUGAUUAGAACGCUUAUUUAGAACACUUAUUCAUAACGCUUUUUUAUAACGGCAAUUUUCGUAUGACACAACAAUCAGCAUUUAAGCUGGCCACACUUUUUUCAGAAACAUUUUGCACGAACACAGUCCUUACAAAGUUAUGUCCAGAAUGUGAGCAGUUUAUUUUUGGAUGCAAUGUUCAGACAUUCACAGAAGUAUCUACAGCAGCAAUCAUCCAAACCGGAAAAAUGUAGGUUACAUUUGUCCUAGCGCUAACUGAGGAAAAAUUGACCUAACACAAGCGGUCAUAUUUCUAUAACUCUCGGCUGACAAACUACAAUAUGAAUUAGCUAAUACAAAUUACGUUCCACACUCUUCCAGCAUCUGCUCUCCAACAGCACAGGAGCCUGUGGCACAGUCAGGUCGAACAGGAAGGGGAUGCCGGCAUUCAGAUGCAGGAAGAUGCAGAGAGGGGAGGUGGAGUUCAAGGAGAAUGUUCAGCAACUGGCAGUAAAGUGGCAUGACAAAUGAGACGUCCAUGUCCUCUCCACUGUCCAUACAGCAACCAUGUCGGCCACAGGGAAGGUGAACCACCUGACGGGAGAGAGAAAAAUCAAACCAGUCUGCGUGCUUGACUAUAACCUCAAAAUGGGGGCAGUGGAUAAGGCGGACAUGAUAAACAGCUUUGUGAAAUGCACUAGGAAAACGACCAAGUGAUAUAAGAAGAUAUUUUUCCAUCUGAUCGACACUGCUGCCCUCAAUGGCCACAUAGUUCACCACCAACUAACAGUAAUUACCUACCAAAGGUACAGAGAAAACCUCAUGAGAGAGCUGCUGGAGGAGCACCACACCCCUCGGUGCCCAUCCAAUGGGGGUCGUCCUGUUGCGGACAAUCCCCUACGCCUCACUGAAUGGCAUUUUCCAUGCAAAGUCCCUCAAACUACUGCUCAACGUAGUCACAC
rnacentral:lncRNA from 1 species